GCUUGUUCGUUCGUUCUCUGCUAAUGGGUGGGUUUCUUCGGAUGAAUCUGACCAGGUGUGUGGCUGCUGUGACACAACCUGUAGCACCAGGAGUGGAAGUGAUAAGCUUCUUAUAGAUCUAUGGUGGGAGAGUGUCUCUGCAGGCCCGGUGUCAAGUGGGGGCUUGGGGGG